CUCUUGCGAUGGUUCCGUUGAAACUCUCAUGGUAUAGCGAGAGAGAGAGAGAGAGAGAGAGAGAGAGAGAGAUUGAUUUCGAUUUCUUAGUUGCGAAGGUGCCUCAUUUGCUAUUUACAAUGUAUAGAUUUCGAUCUCUUUGUGUCCAUUUCGACCUUUUAUCAUUGGUACAUCGAUCUCCAUUGAUUUUAUUUAGAAUCGAUUUAAGCAAAGUGGUUUCUUUCUUAAGCUCAUAAUCAAAAACAGUUUCAAAACCCUAGAUUUUCUUGAGGCAAUUUCUUUCAUUUAUGGUGGUAAUGACAUUUUUCUUAAACUACGAUGUAGGAAAGUUAUUCCUUUUUGUUUUUGUUUCUUCUGUUGGAGUUGCUUUCCUUGUGCCCUUACUGAAUCCCUUACCAGUGGCAUGUGCUUCUUGAUUUUCAAUCUUUGAAUUUCUUUAUGAUCAUUGUCCAAAAGCCUAUGUUUUGGCAACAAUUUCUUUCAUCUGUGGUGAUAAUGAGAUUUUCCCAAUCUCAAUCUUGAUUAUUCAAGAAUGUUUGAUCUCAAUGAACUGGAAUUUUAAUUGCUUUACAACUCCAAGAGUUUGGUUUGUGCUAUGGAAACUGCGCAGUGCUUGUAAGAUGAAUUGUAGUUGCUUAGAAUUUGUAAGUCUGAAUGAUACCCUAAUUUGUUCGAUGGCUUUAUACGAAAUUUCAAUAUGAAUUACAAAUUCUUUAUUCAUAAUGUAACAUCAGGAUGCUGGGAAAAUAAAAUUGAGCCUUUGGUUAAUUUAAAGUGAAUUGCGAUAUGAAUUGUUUUAUUCAUAUUUGUAAAUUGAGAUGGUAUGGUUCAACCAUGAUGCCCCUGAAUAGGCCCUGAUGAGUAUUCACAAUGUGAAAGCAGAUGAUGGUAUGGAUUUUGCCUAAAUGUCCCUAAAUUCUUGAUUAUUCAUUUAUAACAAUAUCUGAUAUAGUUAAGACUGUGUGAUUGCUAAAUGCAAUUAUCAUAAUAUGAAAUCGGACGGUAUGCCUGAUCCUUGUUACCUAUAAAUUCAAAUGGGAAUAAGACCCUAGUUUGCUUGGUUGUCCAUUAUACUUGCAGUUGCAGUAUAUAUGAAUCAUGAAUGAAUUCCCUAUGUGAAAUCAGGGUGAUAUGCUUGAGAUUGUAUAAGCAUAAAUGUGAAGUAGAAGGUAUGUAUAUGAUGUCCCUUAGUACCCUAACCGCAAUGAUAUGUUUGAGACUUGAUAAGCCUAAUUGCAAUGACAAUAUGACUUCUAUAUUCAUAUUUCAUAAUCUUUAUAUUGGAUUAUGUGUUUGGUAAAUCUGAUUGUAAAGCCUAUAUGAAGUUUUUAUUCAUUAACUGGAUUUUGUAUGGUAUCUGACCCUUCAUGCUAUGUUGGAAUAAUUAGGAUCAACUCCAUCCUAGAAACCCAGAAGGGUUGCAUGAAUCAUUAUAAAUUAUAAAUGAUUCUUGGCUCAUAUAUGCUGUAACACUUAAAAGGAAGGAGAGAAAAUGCAGUAUGGUUACCAUGACAAAGCAAUCAUGGACAAGCUGAACAAGAUCAUCACCCUCUCAGAGUUGAAGUAUUGAACAAACUAGUAAUUAUGAUCAACACCAGUUUCGUGUUUUGGUGUUUCUUUCUACAUGGCAAAGAAGGGAAGGGGAAUAUUUCUCUAGUCUUCAGCUCUGAUGAACAUUUUUUUGUCCUGUAUGUUGUUUCUGUGUACACUAUCAAACCAAACUUUAUGGUACAAGAAUCUUCUCAGGUGCUUUUGGUUUCACCAAUAUAUACUUGAUGCAAUCAACAACUUGUUUUUUGGACAUCAUGUUUUGGCGGUAAUUUCUUUCUUUUGGUGCUGUAUUUGGUAAAUAAUAAAAUAUAAAAAAGUGGGAUUUCCUGUCAACUAUUACUAGGCAAAUUGAUUCUGCAAUGUACUAAUUUGUGAAUAAACCUGCAAGGUUGACUAUACCAAUGAUUACUAGUGGUGUUGUACGCUUGUAAUUAAUAUCCAACGUUAUGACUCAAUGCCAAUACUGUAAAUCUUCCCAAGAAUCAGGACAAAGGUUACAAUUUUGAUACUGAAGCGUACAUGAAUUACUUUUUAGAAGAUUAGUACAUGACAAAAGUUGGGGUUGUGAUGUUUACUAAUAAAUAAAACAUGUUUAAUAGCAGUUAUUGAUGAACUGGUUCACAUGUUAUACUCUUAUUAGAAAACAACACAACCGUUUACAACAUCUAAAUUUUGCUCUCAUUUGAAUAGAACAUAUAGCCCUUAGUUAUUGUAUGUAAUGGAAUGCUCAAAUAUGUUUAAAUGUCGCUCACAAGAAUAAAUUUUUUUAAACAUUUUGAUCUUUUUAGAGAUUUAGUGAAACAUUACCCCAUUAGAUAAACAUCUUCUAGUGCAUAAGUUUAAUUUGCAACAAUUAGUCAGAAACUAACCAAGAUUAUUGCUAGUCUGAGGUUUGUUGUACAAACCAGUAUUAGCUUACAUAGACUCUGCCCUGUGUUACAAGAAACGACUCACCUAAAGCCUAUUGUCCAAAGAUAAAAGCAAUGGGACACAACUGAAUCCGAUGAGGCCAAAAUCAAAGGAUGAUUGUCUAUUUAUAGAUCAAUGGGGAAAAGAAAGGAAAAAACAGGUCUGUGUUUCUCUUGUAUGACUAUCUACAAUUUCAUGUUAUAACUAUCUAAGGCUUCUAUGUUGCAGAGUAUCGACUCAGAUUACAAAAUGCUCCAUAUCUUUGUACACUAUCAAACUGAACUUUAUGGUACAAGAAUCUUCUCAGGUGCUUUUGGUUUCACCAAUAUAUACUUGAUGCAACCAACUUGACUUAUUUUUUCUACAUCAUCACAUCAUAUUUUGUCGAUAAUUUCUUUCUUUUGGUACUGUAUUUGGUAAAUAAUAAAAUAUUAAAAGUGGGAUUUCCUAUGAAUUAUUACUCUAGGCAAAUUGAUUCUGCAAUGGACUAGUAAUUGCUCUACAGUGGUACUACUAGUUACCAAAGCAAGUGAUGCUUUACAAUAAUUCAAUCUUAUUUUUUACGGAUAAGAAUAACAAAAUUUCUACUGAACCUUUAAUGUGUUCAUUUAGAUGCAAGUGUUGAUGCUGAAGUUUUUUAUUUUGUGAUGUGGAGGUGUUGAAAUCCUGAAGAUAGUUUUUCGGUUGUGAUGGUAAGAUUACGUAUAUCUAGAUCAUACUAGAUACAAGUCUCAUCCAUGUUGUUAUUUUUUAAACCCUACUGUGUUCAUUUCAUAACAGAUAACAUAUAGAAAUGUACUAAUUUGUGAAUAGACCUUCAAGGUUGACAAUACAAAUUGUUCAUACCAAUGAGUGUUAGUAUUGUUGUACGCUUGUAACUAAUAUCCAACUUUCAGACUCAAGGCGAAUACUGUAAAUCUUCCCAAAAAUCAAGGCAAAGGUUACAAAUUUGAUACUUAAACAUACAUGAAUUAGUUUGAUAGAUUAAAAGAUUAGUGCAUGGCAAAAGUUUGGUUUGUGAUGUUGUUUACUAACAAAUAAAACAUGUUUAAUAGCAGUUACUUACUGAUGAACUGGUUUACAUGUUAUAUUCUUAUUAGAAACAAUACAAUUGUUUACAACAUCUAAAUUUUGCUCUCAUUUGAAUAGAACAUAUAGUUGUUGGUUAUUGAAUCUUAUACAUGCUUAAGUUUAAUUUUUGGGUAUCACCAAGAGUAUCUUUUCACUCUAUCAGUAAGGAACUAAUCUUUUUUGGAUGUGUAGUUGUCCCUCCUAACCAGCGUUGCUCCCAGAAAUCAAACUUUUGACCUUUUGAUCUUUUAGGAGAUUUGCAGAGUUUUAUAACACUAGACGAACGCUGGUGCAUAAGGUUAAUUUGCAACAAUGAGUCAGAAACCAGCCAAGAUUAU
rnacentral:lncRNA from 1 species